rnacentral:rRNA from 1 species
AUUGAACGCUGGCGGCAGGCCUAACACAUGCAAGUCGAACGAGUGGCGGACGGGUGAGUAAUGUCUGGGAAACUGCCCGAUGGAUGGGGAUAACUACUGGAAACGGUAGCUAAUACCGCAUACCAUCGGAUGUGCCCAGAGGGGAUUGGCUUGUCGGUGAGGUAACGGCUCACCUAGGCGACGAUCCCUAGCGGGUCUGCGAGGAUGACCAGCCAGACUGGAACUGAGACACGGUCCAGACUCCUACGGGAGGCAGAAGUGGGGAAGAUGGCACAAUGGGCGCAAGCCUGAUGCAGCAAUGCCGCGUGUGUGAAGAAGGCCUUAGGGUUGUAAAGUACUGUCAGCGGGGAGGCGUUACCUGCAGAAGAAGCACCGGCUAACUACGUGCCAGCAGCCGCGGUAAUAC